UGCUGGGGACACAAAGCCGUUCCUUGGUGCCCUCCGAGGGAGCACAAAGAAAAUUACAAGGGCGUGAACUACAGCGAUUACAAAGAAGCUGAGACAGGAGACUCUGUCAAAUGCGUGCAUUCCUUGGCAGCCGCACAGAGCAGCCUCUAAGCCUGGAAGACUUAGCUCCAUCCAAGGCCCGAGUGGAGGAAAAAGACUGGAAUGAUCACUCGCUUGGAGCCAUGAGCUCAGAACCGUGAAGAUGAUAUUCCUGCAGUUGAACAUCAGACAACACUUUUGGUGAAGGGCUUCAAGAAAAGCACCAACAAAGCUAAAUCUAGGACCUGCAGUCGUGAACAGUGUGUAUCAACUGUCAGAUUUGAAAACCGUUCCCCAUAGGUUCAUACAGGGGCCCUGGAAAGGUCAUUAACACAUUCAAUGCCUCUCCUUUUCUCUUGGCACAUAGUAGGAUUGCAUCUCCCCACCCACUUUGAAGUUAAGCCUGACCGUGUGACUUGACUUGACCCCUGACAUGUCAAUGGCAGAGCUCGGAGCCCGAGUGUAACCUGCUCCGGUCUCUUUCCCUCCAUCCUGGCAACCAGCAGCAUCUGCAGAGGUGACGACUCCAUCAGCGCUGAUCUGUGAUGGGCAUCUUUUGUGUGAUAGCUUCAUGGCGCGUCAAAGGAGAUACUGAUAACCCAAAGCCUUGGCUGA